rnacentral:rRNA from 1 species
GGCUCAGGACGAACGCUGGCGGCGUGCUUCAUACAUGCAAGUCGAACGAGAAAUUCACUUCGGUGGAUGGAAAGUGGCGGACGGGUGAGUAAAAUGUAGAGAAUCUGCCCUAGAGAGGGGGACAACAGAGGGAAACUUCUGCUAAUACCCCAUAUGAGCGUACUUGAGAUAGUAUUCUUGAAAACUCCGGUGCUCUGGGAUGAGUCUGCAUCUGAUUAGCUAGUUGGGGGUGUAAUGGACCACCAAGGCGAUGAUCAGUAGCUGGUUUGAGAGGAUGAUCAGCCACAAUGGGACUGAGACACGGCCCAUACUCCUACGGGAGGCAGCAGUAGGGAAUUUUGCGCAAUGGGGGAAACCCUGAACCGCAGCAACGCCGCGUGACCGAUGACGCCCUUCGGGGUGUAAAGGUCUGUCAGUGGGGACGAACGAUGACGGUACCCACAGAGGAAGCACCGGCUAACUCCGUGCCAGCCGCCGC